UGCAUUUAAGGAGAAAAGAAAAAAA
rnacentral:piRNA from 1 species